rnacentral:tRNA from 1 species
GGGCGAUUAGCUCAGCUGGUUAGAGCACUUGCUUUACACGCAAGGGGUCGGGGGUUCGAAUCCCUCAUCGCCCACCA